rnacentral:misc_RNA from 1 species
AAAUUUUAUUUCGUUCAUACUUAAAAGAUGUCAACUAGUUUUGCAUGCAAAGAUUCUUUUUUAUCAUUUGAAGAUUUAAAAUCAACUACUAAGAAAUAUGAAGAUUCUCAUUUUGUGCAGUUGUGGAUUCGUGACGCCAAAACAAUUAAAGCUGCUAGAAAAACCAUUCCAAGAAUAGCUGCUAUAAUAGCUCCACAGAUAAAGUAUUACUAUAUAAAGUAUAGCUGUAUAUAUAUGGUGGAAAAAAAUUUACAAAUAAAGGCAAUGGAAAACGUCAAACUUCGACUUAUAAGAAAGAGUGUCCAUUCUUCUUAAGUUUUAAAGCAUCAGAAGAUAGGCAAACAUUAAUUUUGUAAGAUUUAAAACAUAAUCAUAAUCAUGAAGUAUCUGAAAUUUUGUAUAAGCACUUACCAAAUCAAAGAAAACUUCCUAAUUAUGCUGUUGCAAAAGCAGAAAACUUGUUACGCUUAAAAGCUAACAAAAAGCUACUUCAACGUGAAUUGUCAAAGGAGACUGUAAAAAUGAUAACUCUUCGUGACUUAUCAAAUAUUGCUGCUUCUGCACACAAAAGUGAUACACGAAAUAGUUUAACAAGUUUUGUUAAGACUUCAAAGGAAAAAUACAUUAAGAAAGUCAUAAAACAAAAGUUUUUUUUAUAUGUUUUAACGGAUGCCGAAGAUAAUUUACAAGGGCUUUUUUUCCAAGAUAUUUCAAUGCAUAGCGCUUACAAUGCAUAUCCUGAAUUUUUAUGCAUGGAUGCAACUUACAUAUUGUUAGAAAUUCGUCUGCCAGUAUAUAUUCUGCUAUGCGAAGAUGGAGCUGGUGAAAGUGAAAUAGCCACUGUAGGUUUGCUAACACAUGAAGAUGCUGCAUCUCUCAAUUGGUUCAUUGAAAGAUUUAAGAGUUACAAUAUUUCUUGGCCAAAGCCAAAUGUCUUCAUGACAGAUAAAGACUUGACAAAGAGACGUAUUGUGUGGUGCUUUUCCAGGGGUUUUUUCAUUACUCUGUUUAUUUCAUACCUGCAAACUUUUAGUCGUGAAAUUACAACUGUCAAACUUGGGAUUACUAGUGGGGAGCGAAUUUCAUCUCUAGAAUUUAUUCAGAAAUUAGCUUACGCAACCUCAGAGGAAAAUUAUGACGAGUUGUAUAGACUAUUUGUUUCAUCAGCUUCUUCCACUGUUAUAGACUAUUAUAACAACAAUUGGCAUAAUAUUAGUGAUGAGUGGGUUUUUGGUUUGAAAUUUGUCAGUGGCAACCUCAUGAAUAGCACCAAUAAACGUCUAGAAAAUUUCAAUGGAAAGUUAAAAGAAGUUAUUGACUACAACAGCUCGUUAAAAGACUUCCUUGGUAAAUUCUAUGUUGUUUUAACAUCUAUGCGUAAUGAAAGGUAUCAUAAGACAAUUUUCCAAAUGCAAAAAGUUUCUAUUGAUGUAUUUGAUCCCAAUUCUGCUGAAGCAGCUUAUAAAAAUUUUUUGACAUCGUAUGCUGCUCAACAUGUUCUAAAGCAGAUGAGCUUGUUUAAAGAAGUUACAUUAUUACCAGGAGAACAUGGCCAAUUCAUAGCGAACAGCCAUGAAGGUAUUCAUACAGUGACUUCAAAUUUUUGUUCUUGUAUGUUUCAAAAGUCAAUGAAUUUACCAUGUCGUCACAUCUUUGCAGCUCACCAGAUGCUUGGGAUAAAUUUGUUUGAUACUGAAUUGUGUUCCGAGAGGUGGACAUUACAGUACUAUUGUCGACAUCAACGAGCCUUUGAUACCCCAGUCAUGGUUGAAAAGUGUGCAACUGUAGAUUUUCAUGUCGCUCCAAAAAUUAAAGUGUAUUCUCAGCAUGAGAAAAUUAAACUUGCCGUACAAGAGACAUCAUUUCUUGCUACUCUUGUAUCUGAAUUCACAGGUCAGACACUUGAGCAGCGUCUCAGUCUUUUGCGAGCUUUAAGUAAAGGUUGGGCAAAUGGAAAGGUCAUGGUAAUUAAUGAACUUAUUGAAGAAGAUGAUUUAGUAACAUCUAAAAAAAUAUCUAAACAAGCGGGAACAUCAUCAAUACCAGCAAAAUUAAUUGUUUCUGAUGCUGUUAAUUUAACGUUUUCUGCAGUUUGAACAGGUAGCUUAAUUGACUUACCUAUCAGUGUUGAUGUAUCAACCUUACCAGCGAGUAAUUGUUCAACAAAUGCUUAUUCUAUUACGAGUGCAUCUAAAAAUGUCGUCAACACAAUUUCAAUUAAUUCAUUAAGAUGUGCAGCAAAUGUGAACAGUGAAGUCACUUUAAUAGCUCCAUAAGUACUUAAUAAAAAAAGUUUAUCUGUGGCACAGGUAGGUGCCCAAUAUGAAACUUUAAAUAACAACUAUUUAUCAGAGCAAGCUGAAAUUGUAGAAAAAGCACCAUAUCAGCAAGAAGAGUUGACAUCUGGGAGGAGUAAUGCAGAUGCAGAUGAUGUCCGUAAAGCUCUUUCUGGCAUACUUAUACAGAGUAAUUGCAUAGAAAAAAGAGUGAAUUGUAUUUCUUCAGCUGUUCUUGAUGAAAGUGCACUUGGAUCUCUUUUGUCUCUGCAAUCAUAUUUUACUUCAGACGGGUGUAAAGUGCUUAAUAAAAUAAUUGAUAUCAAAUCUCAGCAACGAAUUUGGCCUUGUGCAGUGUGCCAAAAAAGUAUAUCUGUGGGCAAUGACAUUGGGGGCUCAAUAGCGUGUGGUUCCUGCCUUUUGUAGUUUCACAAAAAAUGUGUUGACAAGAAAGAGGCUUGGUGUAUUAAAUCAAAAUAUUGGUUUUGCCGCUUUUGCUAAAUUGUUUUAAGAAUG